rnacentral:rRNA from 1 species
GGGUGAGUAACACGUAUGCAACCUGCCCCUGUCAGGGGGACAACCCGCCGAAAGGCGGGCUAAACCCGCGUACAUGCCACCGGGGCAUCCCGGAGGCAGGAAAGGCUUCGGCCGGACAGGGAUGGGCAUGCGGCGCAUUAGGCAGUAGGCGGGGUAACGGCCCACCUAACCGACGAUGCGUAGGGGUUCUGAGAGGAAGGUCCCCCACACUGGUACUGAGACGCGGACCAGACUCCUACGGGAGGCAGCAGUGAGGAAUAUUGGUCAAUGGUCGGGAGACUGAACCAGCCAAGCCGCGUGAGGGAUGAAGGUACAGAGUAUCGUAAACCUCUUUUGUCAGGGAACAAAGGCGGGGACGUGUCCCCGGAUGAGUGUACCUGAAGAAAAAGCAUCGGCUAACUCCGUGCCAGCAGCCGCGGUAAUACGGAGGAUGCGAGCGUUAUCCGGAUUUAUUGGGUUUAAAGGGUGCGCAGGCGGUCUGUUAAGUCGGCGGUCAAAGCCCGGGGCUCAACCCCGGCCCGCCGUUGAAACUGGCAGUCUCGAGUUGGAGAGAAGUAUGCGGAAUGCGCGGUGUAGCGGUGAAAUGCAUAGAUAUCGCGCAGAACUCCGAUUGCGAAGGCAGCAUGCCGGCUCCACACUGACGCUGAGGCACGAAAGCGUGGGUAUCGAACAGGAUUAGAUACCCUGGUAGUCCACGCAGUAAACGAUG